ensembl:snRNA U6 U6 spliceosomal RNA
GUGCUCACUUUAGCAGCACAUAUACUAAAAUUGGAACAAUACAGAAAAGAUCAGCAUGGCCCCUGUGCAAGGAUGACACACAAAUUCAUGAAGUGUUUCAUAUUUUU